UGAGGAAUAUUGGUCAAUGGGCGAGAGCCUGAACCAGCCAAGUAGCGUGCAGGACGACGGCCCUAUGGGUUGUAAACUGCUUUUAUGUGGGGAUAAAGUGCGUGACGUGUCAUGCAUUGCAGGUACCACAUGAAUAAGGACCGGCUAAUUCCGUGCCAGCAGCCGCGGUAAUACGGAAGGUCCGGGCGUUAUCCGGAUUUAUUGGGUUUAAAGGGAGCGUAGGCUGUCUAUUAAGCGUGUUGUGAAAUAUACCGGCUCAACCGGUGGCUUGAAGCGGGAACUGGUCGACUUGAGUAUGCAGGAAGUAGGCGGAAUUCAUGGUGUAGCGGUGAAAUGCUUAGAUAUCAUGACGAACUCCGAUUGCGCAGGCAGCUUACUGUAGCAUAACUGACGCUGAUGCUCGAAAGUGCGGGUAUCAAACAGG
rnacentral:rRNA from 1 species